rnacentral:misc_RNA from 1 species
GUCACAAGGGACACCCUGGAAUGCCUGGAAUGCCUGGAAUGAAAGGUGCACGAGGUUUUGAUGGAAAAGAUGGUGCCAAAGGUGACAGUGGUGCUCCUGGUCCAAAGGGUGAAGCUGGUCAACCUGGAGCAAAUGGAUCACCAGGCCAACCGGGACCAAGAGGUCCAACUGGUGAAAGAGGAAGACCUGGAAAUCCUGGUGGCCCUGGUGCCCAUGGCAAAGAUGGAGCUCCUGGAGCGGCAGGC